rnacentral:rRNA from 1 species
UAACGGAGGGGGCUAGCGUUGUUCGGAAUUACUGGGCGUAAAGCGCGCGUAGGCGGACCUGCAAGUCGGGGGUGAAAGCCCGAGGCUCAACCUCGGAACUGCCUUCGAUACUGCGGGUCUCGAGUCCGGGAGAGGUGAGUGGAAUUCCUAGUGUAGAGGUGAAAUUCGUAGAUAUUAGGAAGAACACCAGUGGCGAAGGCGGCUCACUGGCCCGGUACUGACGCUGAGGCGACGAAAGCGUGGGGAGCAAACAGGG